GCCUGGGCUGGGCUGGGUUGGGCUGGGCUGGGAUUAGCACAUUGGCCUUCCCCCAGCCAUCCCUAUCCCAGAGCCUUC
rnacentral:miRNA from 1 species